rnacentral:rRNA from 1 species
GACGUAGGGCGCAAGCGUUGUCCGGAUUUAUUGGGCGUAAAGAGCUCGUAGGCGGCUUGUUGCGUCGUCCGUGAAAACCUGUGGCUCAACUACAGGCUUGCGGUCGAUACGGGCGGGCUGGAGUUCGGUAGGGGAGACUGGAAUUCCUGGUGUAGCGGUGAAAUGCGCAGAUAUCAGGAGGAAUACCGGUGGCGAAGGCGGGUCUCUGGGCCGAUACUGACGCUGAGGAGCGAAAGCGUGGGGAGCGAACAGG